rnacentral:lncRNA from 1 species
AUACACCAACGGAAGGACCAGAACAGGUGGGGGGGGGGUGCUCAUGUCAUUGAGAUGGACACAGCAGGUGUGGAGGUGAACGGGAGCACGUGACCUUCUUUCCUCGGCCCUUUGAUACAUGCACAGUAACCAUUAUCUGGGACUUGAACCUUCCUCGGUCCCAAAUGUUUCGGGGGCUUCUAUUGCCAUGACAAGCACUGGGCGGCUCAUCGGGGUAGAAAUUAUUUUUGGGGGGUACUGGCAGCGCCCAGAGCAAUAGCACCUUUAAAGACCUCAAGAAGCUAGACCAAGGUCGAUGGGACCAGUGAACUGAGGAGUGUCCUCCUCUCGUCUGAGAACAAGAAUCAAAAGAGAAGCCGGGUGAUCCUUCGGAUCCAUUGGUCCUGAAGCCAUUAGUGUGACUACAGAAAGAGGUGAAAUUGUCACAGACCUGGGGAUAGAAGGCCAGUUUCAAAAUGUUCCUCCUGGACCACGGGGUGCGAGGCCCUGGGGUGGGGCUGUCUGCAGGCGUGUGACAGCGCGUGCUUCCCGAAGGACGAUAAGAUCCAGAGAUGGGCGGACGAGCGCACAGAAAACGAACGGCGUCUUCUCCUGCCUCUCGUAAGCCCCAGGCUGUCUGUUUACAAAUGUCGUGUUUUUUUCCUCUCUCUUCUCAUGCCUGAAUCUGUUCAGGAAUGUCCCAUUCCAGCCUCGCUGGGCCGGCCGCAUGUCACAGCGGCACCCGUGGCCGUGCCGCACAUCCCGGAAUGUGGCAUUUCUGAGUGAGUCAGGCAGGAGUGCCUGGUGUUCAGAAACAACGCCCGCCUCACACUCCCUCGUCACGGGACCCCAGGGCUCCAGGGGGGUUCUUUAAGAUUCUCGAAGGCAGCGUGCGAAUUACCGCCCAGUUCGUCCAAGUGGCAAAAAGAGAGACGUUUCUAUCCUAAUAAUACUGAGUCGGCUUUCAUCACUUUCUAAUCGUCAAGUCCCUUCGGAGCCAUGCUCUCCGUUGAUUCUUACAACACCUUUGUGAGGAAAGCAGGGUCGGAAAAGUUCAGAGUGUGCAAAUGCCUCAGAUCCUGUGCCUGGCGAGGGCCAGGCAGGUCUAGCAGCUGAGUUCCGGGAGGCGAACGUACUGCGGAGCUUUUCCCACUACCCCGUCCAAGGUCUGUCCGCUCCGUCCUCCUUCAGAAGUGGAUAGGCGCGUUAAUCCAUGGUGUGGGCUGGCAAACGCCCAGGCUUUUCUAAAGCACUGAGGUGGAAGCUUUGCAAUAAAGCAAACGAGGAUUUCA